AAUUAACGCUGGCGGCAUGCGUAACACAUGCAAGUCGUACGAGAAAGCCCGGUUCGCCGGGCGAGUAAAGUGGCGCACGGGUGAGUAACGCGUGGGUAAUCUACCUCGGUCUGGGGGAUAACGCACCGAAAGGUACGCUAAUACCGUAUAAUCCGACGGAUCACAGGGUCUGUCGGGAAAGGUGGCCUCUACAUGUAAGCUACCGAACCGAGAUGAGCCCGCGUCCUAUUAGCUAGUUGGUGAGGUAACGGCUUACCAAGGCAGCGAUGGUUAGCUGGUCUGAGAGGAUGAUCAGCCACACUGGAACUGACACACGGUCCAGACUCCUACGGGAGGCAG
rnacentral:rRNA from 1 species